CUGAGAUGCUCUUAUCUUUAAAAGUUACACAACAUCUUGUUAACCUUAUUCAUGCAAGAGUUCCAAGUAUUAAACAAAAAAAAUCAAUAAACAAAUGGAAUCAUAUAUAAAUACGGAAUAGAAAAAAUAUCGUAUUGUAUGUUUCAUCGUGUCAACAUGAAGAUAACUUGGUGUGUUUUGGUUUUAAGUGUCCUCAUUUUUACCACUUUUGCUGAUGAAAAAUGUGGCGACAAUGAAGUUCACACUACAUGUGGUACUCACUGCCCUCCCACUUGCGAGCACAGAGGACCCCAAAUAUGUAUAGCUUCUUGCAAAAUAGGUUGCCAGUGUAAAGAUAAUUACCUCCGGAACUCACAAGGAAA